AUGGCGCUGCUGGCCAAGCACCUGCUCAAGCCGCUGCCCGCGGACCAGCAGAUCGAUACUGGGCCCUUCCUGGAGGCGGUGGUCCAUCUGCCUUCUUCGAUUGCCUUGGGUCCCCAGUGUUUACGCCCAUCAAGGCAGACAUAAGUGGGAACAUCACUAAAAUAAAGCCGUCUACGACACUGAUCCAGCCAAGUUCAGGACCCUCCAGAACAUCCUGGAAGUGGAGAAGGGCAUGUAUGGAGCGGAGUGGCCCAAAGUAGGAGCCACACUGGCACUGCUGUGGCUGAAAAGGGGCCUGCACUUCAUCCAGGUGUUCCUACAGAGUAUCUGUGACGGGAAACAGGAUGAGAACCAUCCUAACCUCAUCCGUGUAAAAGCCAACAAGGCCUAUGAGAUGACCCUAAAGAAGUACCACGGCUGGCUAGUGCAGAAGAUCUUCAAGGCAGCACUAUAUGCAGCACCCUACAAGUCUUACUUCCUGAAGGCUUUCCAAGGGGCAGAACGUGACGGAGGUGGAGUGCCUUGAGAAGAUCCGCCUCUUCCUGGUCAACUACAGAGCCACCAUUGAUGCCAUCUAUGACAUGUACACCAAAAUGAACGUAGAGCUUGACUAUACAGUGUAG